CAUGCUCCUGUAUCUUUAACACUAAUGCACAAGAAUAAUACUACGCCAAGAAAAAACUGGAGAUUCACUACACGCCUAGACUAAGAACGUAAGAGGUGAAUAAACAUGGAAACAACACAGAAAGGAAACUCAACAACCUCAAAUAACCACCAAACAACAUAAGCACAAGAAAACAAAACCAGGAAAUGAGAUGGAAAAGUCCAUAAACACAAAACCCUGGGUCAAAGAUCCAGAACCGUGACACAGACUGAGAGUACACCUGUGUUCAGCUCUACGGCUCUAGGCACACUGUAAUCCCUAACAGUUGUUCUAGCUCAUAACUAAUAAGCUCAUAACACUCAAAUGUCGUUUUGUAGUUGAGCAAACUAUAAAGUAUUGAGCUCUGUUGGCUUUUAUGCAGCUUUAAUUGAAUAGGGCUCAAUAUUUUUUAGCUAAUUUUUUUGGAACGCUCAAAAAGUUUAAGAAGCAUAUAUUAGUGACGUUCAGGUGGGUGGAGUCUUGUCGCUCCUUCAGGAAAGCUGAGUCAGCCAUCUUGAAUUUACCUUGAUGCGGGGAAGAUUUGGCCAGACCGUGUGGAUUAAGAGUCCCCAACUUCAACCCACCACGACCACCACCUUAUUUUUUUUCAUCAAUUGCCCUAAAUUGGGUUAAGUCUAACGUGUUUUUGUUUUGUUUAAAUUUAAUUUCGAUAAACAUUCUUUUUUUAUUUUUUACUGGAAAUAUAUUCGUACUUUGUGCACAGUGAAUGUUUGUUAUAAAUGAAUUCGAAUCCAAGUAAUUGUAAUUUUAGAAGUUUUCGAAUGUGACAAAUACGUAAUGUUAUUUCAAAUUAGAAUGGUGUAACGUUUUGGCGGUUUACCGUGGGGGACAACAUUUCCCAUAAUGCAUUGUAUUCUUGCCCGGGAGGUUGACGGUGGCAGUUCUAGCUCCAUGCAUUUGAACUUUCUACUGUCCGUUUCUACCGGUUGUCGUAUUCGCCAGUAAUGCACGUGCGUACUCUGAGUAUACUCAUUUCAAUAAGUGUCCGUGUUACACAGUCAGUAGUUCACGCUGUUUAGCUGUGUGUGUGUGUGCUAGCAUGAAGCGAACAAUAAUAAACAACAUGUGUGUUAUCAUGAUGGUAAUUAGACACAUGUUUGUAUUUUUUCGUAGUCUCAAAUGUGUGGUUGUGAGAUAAUCUCGAAAUCCUUUUAACAGUUUAGAGGGGUAUUCCACUAAGCGAGCUCUACAAGUCAAGGCUUGCGGAAAAACGCAUCGCCUGAUUCAGCCUAACAUUACACACUGGUCGAACUCGGUGCUAUGAACGAAGUUCAGCUAAAUUGUUCGCGCUAAUUCGACAAGGCUCAACCAGCCAGACUGAGGUGCCUCCUUGACACCUUUAAGCCAGACCCUAUCGAUCUUUGCUAGAUAAAUUGAAAUGAAAUGAAAAUAAAGAGCCGUGUUCUGCUCCCAGGCUAAGAAAGAAUCAUUGAUGCAGACUGUGCGGAUCACAAAUACUCCCUAACCUGUAAGGCUGGGGUGUCCAAACUUUUUUCACUGAGGGCCACUUACUAGAAAUUAGGUAAAUAACCUUAACUUUAGUGUAUUAAAGAUCACAAAAUCACUUAAAAGUGGUCGAAUAUGUUAUAUUGUUGAAUAUAAUUAAAGACAAAACUGCCUUCAUCACAGCUUUCCAUAAAUGGAUCUUUAUUGAUUCAUUCAGAAAAAGCUUUGGUAGCUCGUUCUCAGAACAGCCUCAGAUUUCUUCUUAGACAGAAGAUUUACAGCACAGAGAAAAAACAAUAAAGGGGAAAAUAGGACGGGUAAAUUUCAAGUUUGUUAUUUAAGUUAUUAAGCUUAGCAACACACCUAUCAACAUUAGUUUGAAAUGGUUAACAUUAACAGACUGAACUGGACUUAAUAACAGGAGUGCAUAUAAUCUUAGUAAAUUAUUGUGGUGAGUAUCAGCUGCGCUGGGUAUGUAAAUCGGGCCAUCCAGCUGCGGUGCUGAUUCGACGUCACUCGUGCCAAAAAUCCGGACAAAUGUCACUUGAUCAAGGAGCAGAUCUGCAUCAGAUGAGAUCAGCUGACUACGUGUGUGUGCUGUGCAAAAAAUGUUUUUGAACAUUAAUAAGUCGUCUUUGUGCACAUAUUGUUUACAGAUAUCAGACUGCAAAGAGCGCUACAGAGAGUCAACAUUUCACCAGCUGUCAGAACAGCAUGAUGUAAAUACAAGACGGGCCCUCGUCCUUCGUGCACUUCCUGUGUACCUGCGUGAAGAUGCCUCCACAUUAUUCAGGACUUGUGAUUCAGCAGAUGGUCCAGACCUCACUGACACUCCUGUGGCUCUGCUGACAGUUGUCACAGAUGACACUACUGAUUCGGCCCUCUUCAGUCCCGAAAACAUCUGCAUUGUCGUUGAGGAUGAAAUACUUGUGAAUGGUCCCACAAAUCUGGCUGACUCAUUUCUCCUGCUCUUUGGGUACAUCUAUGCACUAGACCUACAAUACCUAAAGAAACUUGAGCUUACAUUCACAUUUAUCCAGAAGGUUGUGAUGUGCCUUGAGGACAACAAACCACUGAAAGGGCGUCUACUGAUGCUGAAGAAUGAUUUGUUCAAUGAGUGAAUCACUCAGAAUGGACUACUUGUUGAGCUGAGUAUUGAGGAAGCUUUUUUUGUUUGUUUUUUUCCUAAUCAUUUGCCUCUUCUACCUCACAUUUAAGACGAAUGACUGUUCAGUUCAUGCACUAUUCAUGUUUAAUGUUCUGUUGCCUAAUACGUAAAUGCACUGCCUUGAUGUUUGUUCCCUAUAAGUACAGCAGUGGAAACAGUACUGUUUUUUUUUUUUAAUGUAUUUUUAAAAAAGAAAGUGAGCUGCAGCUGUCAAGGUACAGUAAGUGUUAAAUGCCUCAAUGUUCUAAUAGCUGCAAUUGCUGUUAAUACUGAAAAUGUUAUUGAAUUUUAGAAUUGAGAUGGAGA